ensembl:misc_RNA
AAACAGCCUCCUCCAAAAUGCAGCUGGACUGUGAUCCAUGGCAAAACACUGGAAUAACUCUGCCAGGUCCUAGAAGCUUUAAGAUUCAUCCCAUUAAACUUGAUACAUACAACAGCACCUUGAAAACGAACCAUCUUCUGGGUUCAGUGUUUUCUCCUUAUAAUCACUCCCUCCCAGGGUAUGCAAUUAAUUUACUGAGCUUUAAAAGAAAAAGUC